rnacentral:rRNA from 1 species
UACGUAGGGAGCAAGCGUUAUCCGGAUUUAUUGGGUGUAAAGGGUGCGUAGACGGGAAUUUAAGUUAGUUGUGAAAGCCCUCGGCUUAACUGAGGAACUGCAACUAAAACUGAAUUUCUUGAGUGCGGGAGAGGAAAGUGGAAUUCCGUGUGUAGCGGUGAAAUGCGUAGAUAUACGGAGGAACACCAGUGGCGAAGGCGGCCUGCUGGACAAUAACUGACGCUGAGGCGCGAAAGCGUGGGGAGCAAACAGG